rnacentral:rRNA from 1 species
GACGAACGCUGGCGGCGUGCUUAACACAUGCAAGUCGAACGGAAAGGCCCUGCUUUUGUUUGUUUCUCGUUUGGCGAACGGGUGUGUAACACGUGUGUAUCCUGCCCUUGACUUUGGGAUAACUUCAGGAAAAUGCGGCUAAUACCGCAUAUGAUCUUCUGCUGCAUGUUGGUGGUUGGAAAGUUUCGGCCGUUGUGGAUGGACUCGCGGCUUAUGAGCUUCUUGGUGUGGUAGUGACUUACCAAGGCUUUGACGGGUAGCCGGCCUGAGAGGGUAAACGGCGACAUUAGGACUGAGAGACGGAGCAGACUGCUACGGGAGGCAGCGGUGGAGAGUAUUACGGAAUGGGCGGAAGCGUGAGGCGGAAACGCCGGGAGCGGGAUGACGGGCUUCGGGUUGUAAACAGAUUUCGCCUGUGACGAAGAGUGAGUGACGGUAAUGGGUAAAGAAGCAACGGCUAACUACGUG